CUAGCGACUUCAGAGUUUGAUCCUGGCUCAAGAUGAACGCUGGCGGCGUGCAUAACACAUUCAAGUCGAACGGUGAUUACCUUCGGGUAUGAUCAGUGGCGGACGGGUGAGUAACGCGUGAGCAACCUGCCCUUAUGUGGGGGACAACAGUUGGAAACGACUGCUAAUACCGCAUAAAGUUACGAGAUCGCAUGUUCUUGUAACCAAAGAUUUAUUGCGUAAGGAUGGGCUCGCGUUGGAUUAGAUAGUUGGUGAGGUAACGGCCCACCAAGUCUGCGAUCCAUAGCCGGACUGAGAGGUUGAACGGCCACAUUGGAACUGUGAAACGGUCCAG
rnacentral:rRNA from 1 species